AGGACGAACGCUGGCGGCGUGCUUAACACAUGCAAGUCGAGCGGUAAGGCCUUUCGGGGUACACGAGCGGCGAACGGGUGAGUAACACGUGGGUGAUCUGCCCUGCACUUCGGGAUAAGCCUGGGAAACUGGGUCUAAUACCGGAUAUGACCUCCUAUCGCAUGGUGGGUGGUGGAAAGAUUUAUCGGUGCAGGAUGGGCCCGCGGCCUAUCAGCUUGUUGGUGGGGUAAUGGCCUACCAAGGCGACGACGGGUAGCCGACCUGAGAGGGUGACCGGCACACUGGGACUGAGACACGGCCCAGACUCCUACGGGAGGCAGCAGUGGGGAAUAUUGCACAAUGGGCGAAAGCCUGAUGCAGCGACGCCGCGUGAGGAUGACGGCCUUCGGGUUGUAAACCUCGUUUCAGUCAGGGACGAAGCGCAAGUGACGUACCUGCAGAAGAGCACCGGCUAACUACGUGCCAGCGAGCCGAC
rnacentral:rRNA from 1 species